CACUUCUAAGGAAGGCAGCAGGCGCGCAAAUUACCCAAUCCUGACUCAGGGAGGUAGUGACAAGAAAUAACAAUAAACCGGCUUAUGCCGGUUUAAUUGGAAUGAGUACAAUUUAAACAUCUUAACGAGGAACAAUUGGAGGGCAAGUCUGGUGCCAGCAGCCGCGGUAAUUCCAGCUCCAAUAGCGUAUACUAAAGUUGUUGCAGUUAAAAAGCUCGUAGUUGGAUUUCUGUGGGGACGGAGCGGCCGGCCGCACAUCGCGGUUCGAGCUAGCGCUUUCCCUACAUCCUGCCGCGAACCGUGCUACCAUUAGUUUGGUGGCGCCGGGGAUCGGCUCGAUUACUUUGAGAAAAAUAGAGUGUUCAAAGCAGGCCACAUGCCUUGAAUAAGUUAGCAUGGAAUAAUAACUAAGGACUUCGGUACUAUUUUGUUGGUGUUCGGGACUGAAGUAAUGAUUGAUAGGGACAGUUGGGGCGGUCUGUAUUCCAAAGCGAGAGGUGAAAUUCUUAGACCUUCGGAAGACAAACAGCUGCGAAAGCGUUCCGCAAGGAUGUUCCCUUUGAUCAAGAACGAAAGUUGGGGGAUCGAAGACGAUCAGAUACCGUCGUAGUCUCAACUAUAAACUAUACCAGCUAGGGAUCGGCCAACGUUAUUUCAAACCGACUUGGUCGGCACCUUAUGAGAAAUCAAAGCAUCUGGGUUCCGGGGGGAGUAUGGUCGCAAGGCUGAAACUUAAAGGAAUUGACGGAAGGGCACCACCAGCCGUGGAGCCUGUGGCUUAAUUUGACUCAACACGGGAAAACUUACCAGGUCCAGACAUAGUAAGGAUUGACAGAUUGAUAGCUCUUUCUUGAUUCUGUGGGUGGUGGUGCAUGGCCGUUCUUAGUUGGUGGAGUGAUUUGUCUGGUUAAUUCCGUUAACGAACGAGACCCCAGCCUGCUAAAUAGCGCGCGUGAGCUUUGCUCGCGGCGAGCUUCUUAGAGGGACUCUGAUGCGCGAUAGCACAUGGAGGUUUGGGGCAAUAACAGGUCUGUGAUGCCCUUAGAUGUUCUGGGCCGCACACGGGCUACACUGGCGCCUGCAUCGAGCAUAUCAGCUGGCCCGAGAGGGUCUUGGCUAAUCUUUUGAACCGGCGCCGUGCUUGGGAUUGACCUUUGCAAUUGUUGGUCAUGCAACGAGGAAUGCCUUGUAAACGCGAGUCAUCAGCUCGCAUUGAAUACGUCCCUGCCCUUUGUACACACCGCCCGUCGCUCCUACCGAUGAAUGUUCCGAUGAAAUUUUCGGAGAGCACCUGUGAACUUGGCUCUGCCUUGCGAACGGGAGGCUCAAAGUCACUUAAAUCUGAACAUUUC
rnacentral:rRNA from 1 species